GAAUAUUGGACAAUGGGCGCAAGCCUGAUCCAGCAAUGCCGCGUGAGUGAGGAAGGCCUUAGGGUUGUAAAGCUCUUUCGCGCGCGACGAUGAUGACGGUAGCGCGAGAAGAAGCCCCGGCUAACUUCGUGCCAGCAGCCGCGGUAAUACGAAGGGGGCGAGCGUGGUUCGGAUUUACUGGGCGUAAAGGGCGCGCAGGCGGCCAUCUUUGUCAGGCGUGAAAGCCCCGGGCUUAACCUGGGAAUGGCGCCUGGGACGGGGUGGCUAGAGAUCGGGAGAGGAGCGUGGAAUUCCCAGUGUAGAGGUGAAAUUCGUAGAUAUUGGGAAGAACACCGGUGGCGAAGGCGGCGCUCUGGACCGAGACUGACGCUGAGGCGCGAAAGCGUGGGGAGCAAACAGG
rnacentral:rRNA from 1 species